GGUUGUGGCUUAGUGGUACAGUGCUUGCCUAGCAUGCAUGAGACACUGGAUUCAAUUCCCACCACCA
rnacentral:tRNA from 1 species